rnacentral:rRNA from 1 species
UACGUAGGGUGCGAGCGUUGUCCGGAAUUAUUGGGCGUAAAGAGCUCGUAGGCGGUGUGUCACGUCGGCCGUGAAAACCUGCAGCUUAACUGUGGGCGUGCGGUCGAUACGGGCAUCACUGGAGUUCGGCAGGGGAGACUGGAAUUCCUGGUGUAGCGGUGAAAUGCGCAGAUAUCAGGAGGAACACCAAUGGCGAAGGCAGAUCUCUGGGCCGUAACUGACGCUGAGGAGCGAAAGCAUGGGGGAGCGAACAGG